UGGGGAAUAUUGCACAAUGGGCGGAAGCCUGAUGCAGCGACGCCGCGUGGGGGAUGAAGGCCUUCGGGUUGUAAACUCCUUUCGACAGGGACGAAGCUUUUGUGACGGUACCUGUAUAAGAAGCACCGGCUAACUACGUGCCAGCAGCCGCGGUAAUACGUAGGGUGCGAGCGUUGUCCGGAAUUACUGGGCGUAAAGAGCUCGUAGGUGGUUUGUCGCGUCGUCUGUGAAAUUCCGGGGCUUAACUCCGGGCGUGCAGGCGAUACGGGCUGACUUGAGUGCUGCAGGGGAGACUGGAAUUCCUGGUGUAGCGGUGAAAUGCGCAGAUAUCAGGAGGAACACCGAUGGCGAAGGCAGGUCUCUGGGCAGUAACUGACGCUGAGGAGCGAAAGCAUGGGUAGCGAACAGGAUUAGAUACCCUGGUAGUCCAUGCCGUAAACGGUGGGCGCUAGGUGUAGGGGGCUUCCACGUCUUCUGUGCCGUAGCUAACGCAUUAAGCGCCCCGCCUGGGGAGUACGGCCGCAAGGCUA
rnacentral:rRNA from 1 species